UACGUAGGGACCGAGCGUUGUCCGGAUUCAUUGGGCGUAAAGAGCUCGUAGGCGGCUGUUCAAGUCGAACGUGAAAACUCGGAGCUCAACUCCGAGCCUGCAUUCGAUACUGGACGGCUAGAGUCUGGUAGGGGGAUCUGGAAUUCCUGGUGUAGCGGUGGAAUGCGCAGAUAUCAGGAGGAACACCGGUGGCGAAGGCAGGUCUCUGGGCCACUGACUGACGUGAGAAGCGAAAGCAUGGGGAGCGAACAGG
rnacentral:rRNA from 1 species